GCGGACGGAGGUGACAAGCCCUCUGGCACGCCACGGAUUCGUCUUGUUCUCAUUCAUGAAUCCACCUUCUUACCCAUGCAAUCAGAUACACAAUCAUUCAACACGACGACAAUAAAAUGAUUCUCAAGGGGUCAAGCCUUGUCAAAGGGAAGCUAAAUCAGGAAAACCUUUGUUCCUUAGAGAAGCCCUUCUUUAUAAUUAAGUCGAGGAUUAGCCAUAUCCAUAACAGUAAGACCUAUAUUUACAGACUCUGGGAUCCCCAUUGGUAAGAAUUUCCUCUGGACAUUGAUAAGAACUUGCUGUGAUGUGUGCACAAGAAGUUCUCUGGAGAGUUUUGUAGUGGGGUGAGAAGAUAAAUUAUCCAUCUAUAUGGGAGUGGCUGAUGAAAUUGUGAUCUACUCAAAUGAGGGGAUGUAUGAAACCAGAGGCUAUAAAACGUAAAGAAUAGAUGUGUGUAAACUAUAGGAACACAUGGAAACAAUGCUCCCACUCAGAUGGGCUCUGGGUCCCCCACAGCACAGCAGAAUCGCUGUCCCACAGAGUCCUUGUGAUGUUCUGUCCAUUUUUUAAAAAGACAGAAUCUCUGUAGCCCAGG
rnacentral:lncRNA from 1 species